rnacentral:snRNA from 9 species
AUACUUACCUGGCGUAGGGGAUACCGUAAUGAUGCAAGCGGUUCCAAAAGGGCGAGGCUGCUCCAUUGCACUGCGGAGUGGUUAAGCUUUGCGAUUAUUUUUAUUGUUAUCAAUAAAAAAAAUCACAAUAAAAAUGUAUACCCGAAUAAUUAUUUUCUUUAUAC